UACAGAGGUCUCAAGCGUUGUUCGGAUUCAUUGGGCGUAAAGGGUGUGUAGGUGGCGCCGUAAGUCGGGUGUGAAAUUUCGGAGCUUAACUCCGAAACUGCAUUCGAUACUGCGGUGCUUGAGGACUGGAGAGGAGACUGGAAUUCAUGGUGUAGCAGUGAAAUGCGUAGAUAUCAGGAGGAACACCAAUGGCGAAGGCAGCUCGCUGGAACGGUACUGACGCUGAGGCGCGAAAGCGUGGGGAGCAAACAGG
rnacentral:rRNA from 1 species